rnacentral:rRNA from 1 species
GACGAACGCUGGCGGCGUGCUUAACACAUGCAAGUCGAACGGAAAGGCCCUGCUUUUGUGGGGUGCUCGAGUGGCGAACGGGUGAGUAACACGUGAGUAACCUGCCCUUGACUUUGGGAUAACUUCAGGAAACUGGGGCUAAUACCGGAUAGGAGCUCCUGCUGCAUGGUGGGGGUUGGAAAGUUUCGGCGGUUGGGGAUGGACUCGCGGCUUAUCAGCUUGUUGGUGGGGUAGUGGCUUACCAAGGCUUUGACGGGUAGCCGGCCUGAGAGGGUGACCGGCCACAUGGGGACGGGGGUACGGCCAGACUCCUACGGGAGGCAGCAGUGGGGAAUAUUGCACAAUGGGCGGAAGCCUGAUGCAGCAACGCCGCGUGCGGGAUGACGGCCUUCGGGUUGUAAACCGCUUUCGCCUGUGACGAAGCGUGAGUGACGGUAAUGGGUAAAGAAGCACCGGCUAACUACGUG